rnacentral:lncRNA from 1 species
CAGAUGUUUCAUGCUGUCCUUUAAGAGAUGAGAGAUUCCCCUUCACCUUAGAUUCUUUUCUCAAUCUUUCUUCCUCGGAUUCCUAGCACAUCAGAAUGAAGGGUCGGAAUGUAACUUCAGUACUUUCAUAAAAGGAGCCACUCAAACUAGCAAACAGAAAUCUUACAGUGUCUCGGCUAGGGCAGAGCAAAUAUCAAAAAACUGAAAAACCAAAAUGUUAAUUAUUAUUAAACUAAACCAAACCGUUUUUAUAGGAUAAAUGAAGCAAAUCAAACCGAAAUAUAUCACUUUGGUUCGGUUAUAAACCGUUGCUUAUGGAAGCCCAAAUUAGCGAAUUCAACAUAAAAAAUUUCACAUAUUACACUCAAAAUCUCAGCAUUCGCAUUUCACAACCACAAUCAAAAUGGCAAUCACAGAUAAACAGUUCCAACAGUUCCAAAAUGGCAAUCACAAUCACCAUCACAGAAAGCAAGGGGAGAAGACCCAUAAAGCUUUAAAGUUUAAAGGGGCAAUAAGGAACCAGGGCAUGCAUGUGCCAUCUUCAUCACAUGCAGAUCCAUAUUCAUAAGACUAUACAAUCGGUGAAGAACCGAGGCCAACUGCCAAGGCAAUGAAGGCCAAACUGUUGGUUGAAGUGAAGGCAUGAGGGUGAGGGCUGAGGGUCAAGGCCCCGCUCAACUGAGGGGAAAGGGAAGACGGUCAUGUACUGCACUCACAUUUAGAGGAAGAGAAACGGGAUUGGGAGCUGAAAGCAUGUGUCCGUAUUCUAUCUAGCUGCUGGAGGCGAGAAAAGUAAAGGAAAAUUAGGGUUAAAAGGUUUAGGUGUUAUAUAGUCAGCCAAAACCCCCAAAAUGACACUAUGCUUUUGGUUCGGUUGAGUUCAUCAUUUUGGUUUUUCAACUGAAUUAACGAAACCGAAAAAACCAAAUUGAUUUGUGUGGGUUGUCAGUUAUAACCAAAAACUGUCGCCCUAGCUUCAGCAGCAUCUUUUGCAGCUCUAAAGCGCCGAGACCAUUGUUGAUUUAUUUUAGCUUUAGGUGGAACCCCAUCUAUAAAAUUCAAAGGUGACAUUCCUGCCAGUGCAUUAGACUAUGAUGCCAUCUUAAUGCCAAUCCUAUGUUGAUUUAAGACCAUAUCUACAACAAAAGUACACAUUUCUCCACAAUGAAAUCAUAAAUUACACUUAAAAAAAUCAGCUUCUUUACCUGUAGUUUGACAUAUUGACAACCACAGGAGAAGACACUUUACUAAAGGUACAUCAAUGGCAAGUAACCUCGAGGGCGUAAGUGACAUCUCCAUAGCUAGGCAUAGAAGAGGUGGCAAUUAUGCCAUUUUAUCCCAUAAUUAAAUAUUUGCAUACAUGGGCUAUAAGCUUUGCAGCUUUACUGCAUAUCUAUAAAUAGUUUCUUCUUCCCACACAUCUCUUACUCUUCCCUGUCUAUUGACUCUUUCCAUCCAACUAAUUUCUCCAACUUCAAACUACUUUUGUGAGUAAAAAGCCUUUAUUAUUUCUCUUCUAUGUUGCCAUAUCAUCACAAAGAUAUUAACUUCUAAAUUCUGAAAUCUGUUUAUCUAUACUUUGCAGGAAAUGAUUUCCUUGGAAUUUAUCUGAUAACCCUUCUAGCCACACCAAAAGAGUUCAUGGAUAUGCAGGUGGAUAGUCGGAUGCACAUGCUACUUUCUAUGGAGGUGAUGAUGCUUCUGGUACAGUGGUAAGAACUAAAAAGCAAACACAAUCAAAACCUGUGAACAAGCAUUCCUUACUGUAUAGUUUUUGGCUCAAGCAAUUUUUGGGUAACAUAGAAGAGAAAUAAUGAAGGAUUUAUGUUUACACAAGUAGUUUGGAUAUAAGAGAAAUCAGGAAAAGGAAGGAGUCAAAGACAGGGAAGGGUAAGGCACAUAUGGGAGGAGGAAGCUGUAUUUAUAAAUGUGCAAAAAGGAAAUUAAGCAGUAUGCUGCAAAAAUUAUUCCCACGUGUGCAAGAUUAAAUUACGGGAAAAAAAGCCUAAUUGACACCUCUCUGAUGCCUUGAAUUUUAUGGAGUUGUCACUUUGCCGCCUGAUUAAAAAGGAAAACUUGAAAAGGGUAUCUUGAUUUUAAGAAAAGAAGGACAUGCAUGCUUCAAAAAGUAUUAGAUAAGCAAAAGGAGCUGUUCUCCAACCAAUAUAGAGCCUUAACUCUAUUGCUUGACAUUAUAGUUUAAAACAAGCACUCGUAACUGAAAUCAAAAUACUAUCAACAAGAACUCCAAUAAGAAAUGAAUCAUCUGAGACAAACCAGAGCUGCAGAACUAGGUGAUCUUUCUGCAAAUUCUCAAGUUCCUUCAAACUACACUUGGAAGAGAAAUGAAUCAUCUGAGAAAAAUAUGCAAUGUAAGAAGUAGGUGGAUCUUUCUGCAAAUACUUAAGUUCCUUCAAAAUACGCUUGGAAGCCAUGAUGUUUCAAUCAGGGAGCUGAAAAUACUGCAGAUAAAUUGUAGAAGCUGAGAAAGAGCAAUUAAAAUCCUACAAAAAUUAAAAGAGAUCUACAACUAAAUAAGACCAAGCAGUCAGAACCCAAAAAAAGAAAAAAAAACACAGAAACAGAGAUAAAGAGAGCAAAUAAAAAGAUAUUAGAGAAAAGUGAGCACCUGAAAAUGAAAAUUAUGGUUUGUAAGGGGUAAUCAGGGUAUGUAUAAUAAAAGUGUAUCAGGGUGUCUGUCUA